UCAACAUGAGAGUUUGAUCCUGGCUCAGAACGAACGCUGGCGGCAGGCUUAACACAUGCAAGUCGAGCGCCCCGCAAGGGGAGCGGCAGACGGGUGAGUAACGCGUG
rnacentral:rRNA from 1 species